CACCUAAACCAAAAUCUAUAUUUAGUAAACUACCACUACCACCACCGCCCAAGACGUCAUAAGCGGCAGCAGCGGUGAACCCAAGAUACGGACUACCACACCCAAACCAUGUGGCAGGAAAGUCAUCAUAUCCUAUAAGCGCCAGCAACACCGUUCAAUCGCCAAACGGCUAGUCUAUGUUCAUCCAUUCAUUCAAUAAAAAUUAUAUAAAGCAUAAUCUUAACUAUUUUUAAAAUAGCACUUCACGUUGUUAAUGUUCUCACCACGUACAAAAAAAAAAUCACAAUA